ensembl:lncRNA
GGGAGAGAGAGAGGAACAGAGAGGGAGAGAGAGGAGAAUGAGGACAGAACAGAUGAACAAGAGCAGCAAACCAGCCUAUGAAAUGGAUGAAACAUCGUGACUGGGUUCCAGCGCUACACAAGGGACCUGCUGCAAACAUACCACCAUGCCAAUCAGAUUACUUCUUCCAUGUGAGGGUGAAGAGUUGACCCUUGUGGAUAAGAUGGUGAAGGUUUGCUGCGUUUUGGUGAACAGUGUGAUAAUAAAACCAGGGAAGAAUGAAACCUGCUCCUGUUAAAUAUUCUUAAGUCUUGUGCUGUUAAAAUUGCUGUAUUUUUUCAAAAGAUACAGUAAAUAAAGUAAUGUUAGUAGUGGGUGAUGUCAUGUAAACACUCAUGAUUUUGUGUAAACAUUUUGUCAUUUGUAAACUAUAAAUGACAUGGAUUCUACAUUGUAACUGGUGUGAUGUUCU